AGAAAUUUAAGCUAACAGACUAAAGGCCUUCAAAGCCUAAAGGAGAAGUUAAACCUUCUAAUUUCUG
rnacentral:tRNA from 4 species